rnacentral:rRNA from 1 species
CAGUCGCCGCGGUAAUACGUAGGUGGCAAGCGUUGUCCGGAAUUAUUGGGCGUAAAGGGCUCGCAGGCGGUUUCUUAAGUCUGAUGUGGAAGCCCCCGGCUCAACCGGGGAGGGUCAUUGGAAACUGGGAAACUUGAGUGCAGAAGAGGAGAGUGGAAUUCCACGUGUAGCGGUGAAAUGCGUAGAGAUGUGGAGGAACACCAGUGGCGAAGGCGACUCUCUGGUCUGUAACUGACGCUGAGGAGCGAAAGCGUGGGGAGCGAACAGGAUUAGAUACCCCAGUAGUCCCUGUCUCUUAUAC